AUGUCUUUUUGAUAUUAAUAUAAAGUNUGGCCUNCCCUAUGAAAUUUUNNANGGCCNCGGUAUUUUNACCGUGCAAAGGUAGCAUAAUCAUUAGUUUUUUAAUUGAAAGCUGGAAUGAAAGGUUGGAUGAAAAAAUUUCUGUCUCUAUUUAAAUUUAUUUGAAAUUUAUUUUUAAGUAAAAAAGCUUAAAUAUUAAUUGAAGACGAGAAGACCCUAUAGAGUUUUAUUGAUAUUAAUUAUAAAAAUUUUAGUAUUAAUUAUUUUUUUUUAUUAAUAUUAUUUUAGUUGGGGAGACUGAAAAAUUAAAUAAACUUUUUUUUUAUAAAAUACCAUUUAUUUAUGAGUAAAUGAUCCUUUAUUUAAGAUUAAAAGAUAAAAUUACCUUAGGGAUAACAGCGUAAUUUUUUUUGAGAGUUCUUAUCGAAAGAAAAGAUUGCGACCUCGAUGUUGGAUUAAAAUNAANUUANGGNGUAGAAGCUAUAAUAUUUAGGUCUGUUCGACCUUUAAAAUUUUACUUGAUC
rnacentral:rRNA from 1 species